GUUUGCUUUACGCUUACACGAGUUAAGCACAAUUAUGUAACUGGAUUGGACGAAAACAUAUUCAUCGACACGUUUUUGUUUUCUUUCGUCCAAAGACAUAAAAGGAUUAGUUUGCGCUAGUUUACCUGGAGAAAUUUGGGAAAUUUAAGUAAAAUAUGGAGAAUUCGGUGGUUCGAACUCGCCUCUGAAUAGAGACUGACGUAUCGUAUUGCCUGCCGAUCCGUGAGGACGCCAGAUUUCCAAAGCACGUGACUGAGGUCUUUACAAAGGUUUCCUGUACAGCUUGGGGACGUGUGCGCUGUUUCCGCAUUGCACACCUGUAUUUCCUAUGCGGUAGACUUUAUGUAGGGAAUAUUAUGCAUGACCUCAUGGUUUUUAUAUAUUAAAUAUAAAUAUCUUCAUUGAAA